CGCAUCGACAACACACUAUUGGACUUAGGAACGACAAGAAUUCGGCCCAAAAGCACAAGGCCUACUAUUCGACGUAGUGUUCAUUGCAGUACUCAAGAAACACGUGAAUUUAUUCACCACACUAAAUUAAACCCAGACCUCGCUAAAACAAGUCUUCCACAACCCUACGGGGAAAGGUGUUUCUGGGAGGACUGGUCGGUAGCUGAACCGAGCCACCAGCCGCUUCUGGGCGACAGGUUCCAGAUCGUAUACACAGUCCUCAUAUUUCUCCCAUCUACUACACAAAGGAACCCAUCUGCUUCAUCUACUAGUGUGUCAACCUACAUAACUAACUGUUUCCAAUAUUAUGACCGGCAACCUGUCUCCGUUUUACAGAAUUGGGAAACGACUACCAAAGUCACCUGGGUUCUCCAGACAGUACAAGGCUAUGUCAUAGAGUUUUAUCACAGCCGUGCAGGUCGCCCCUUCACCUCCAUUACGCACGCUGGCGGAACAGG